CACAUUCCUGGAAUUUCUGCAGAAUUUAUGGCACCUGCCCCAAUACCCACUAAUUCUUUUACAUCUGCGUUGUUCUGUGAAAUCCUGUAAAUACUUUACUAAGUUACACGCACCAUAUAAACUUCAGCUUCCGUUACGGAACAAAAGUUCAAGUCACCUACUCUGUGAGGAAGCAAUUGUUGAAAAUAAUGGAAGCUUGGAGAUUGUUUCUGUGCUCUGCUGUAUCCAAGAGGAUUCUGGGAGGCAGAGGCAGUGUGAGCAGUGUGGCGAGAAGGCUGUGGGGCACGAGCUGAUGCUCAACUCCAUUUCGCCAAUUAAAGCGACAAGGGAGAUGGAAACAUCAAGAUGAAUGCGGAAGGGAAGAGGGUUUAGGGAGCUGAUGGUCGUGCUGUGGUUCUUUCGUGUUUUCGUGGCUAUCUGGAGAAGAAGAAUUUCAGAGUUGUGUACUUUGAUAAUAAAUGUAACUUGGAGUUUGCAUGCUCUCCCCGUUACUGCAUGUGCCUACCUCCAAUGCCAAACAUGUGAAGGCUGGUAGGCUAAUUCAAAGUUCAAAGUAAAUUUUAUUAUCAACGUACAUAUACAUAUACAUCACUGCAUACAACCUGGAGACUUAUUUUCUUGUGGGCAUGUUUAACAAAUCUAAAGAAUAAUAACUACAACAGACUCAAUGAAGAUCACCAACUAGGGCAUUCAACCGGAGUGCAGAAUUCUAAAAACUAUGCAAAUACAAGAAAAGAAAUAAUAAUAAUAAAUAAAUGAGUGAUAAAUAUCGAGAACGUGAAAUGAAGAGUCCUUGAAAGUGAGUCCGUCGGUUUUGGGAAUAUUUUGAUGAUAGGGCAAGUGAAGUUGAGUGAAAUUAUCUCCUCUGGUUCAACAGCCUGAUGGUUGAGGGGUCAUAAUUGUUUCUGAACCUGGUAGUUCAGUCCUGAGACUCCUGUACCUUCUUCCUGAUGGCAGCAGUGAGAAGAGAGCAAGUCCUGGGUGGUGGGGGUUCCUGAUGAUGGAUGCUGCUUUCCUGUGACAACAUUUCAUGUAGGUGUGCUCAAUAGUGAGAAGGGCUUUACCUGUAAUGGUGGCAUCCACUACUUUUGUAGGAUUUUCCGUUCAAUGGCAUUGGUGUUUCCAUACCAGACUGCGAUGCAGCCAGUCAAUGUACCCUCCAUCACUCAUCUAUAGGUUGCAAGUUUCUAGGUUACUAUAAAUUGACCCAGUGCAAGAAAGUGGUAGUAGAAUCAGGAUGAAGAGGAUAAUUGAUGGCCAUGUGUGAAAUAAGUGAGGGAAAUGUUGAGUUUAUUCUUAGAGCAAACAUAGGCUUGAUGAGCCAAGUAGCCUCCUUGAAUGUCAUAACAAACAUGAGACACCUCUUAAAAAUACUUGAAUAUGGACUCAGUGGCCACUUUAUUAUUAUUUGUGCUGAUUAACGCAAGCAUCUAAUCAACCAAUCACAUGGCAGCAAGUCAAUACAUAAAAACAUACAGACAUGGUGAAGAGUUUCAGUUGUUGUUCAGACCAAAUAUCGGAAUGAGGAAGAAUUAUGAUCUAAGUGACUUUGACUAUGAAAUAAUUGUUGGUGCCAGGCAGGGUGGUUUGAGUAUCUAAGAAACUGCUGAUCUCCUGGGAUUUUCACGCACAACAAGUAUUUAUAGAGGAUGGUGCGUAACACAUAAAACAUGCAGUAAACGGCAGUUCUGUAGGCAAAAAUGCCCUUUUCACAAGAGAAGUCAUAGAAGAACAGAUAGACUGGUUCAAGCUGGCAGGAAGGCAAUAGUAACUCAAAUAACCUCUAAAUCAUGAAGUUUGAUAUACCAGGACAGGAAAGUUAAACAGUAAAUAAUUUAGAGUUAGGUAGGUGGUUAAGCAAAUAUUUUUGUUAUACACCAAGGUGAAAGACAUAAGUUACAAGGGAAGGUAAUUUGAUUAAAGAAUGAAAAUAGUUUUGAAAGAUUUAAAGGGGUUUAGAUAGCUGAGUUUGUUUUUUUGUUUUGGACAAAAUUAUGUGGUUACUUACCUUGUUAAAUCUUUCAGUUUUGUUUUCUUGGAACUAACUUAAAGGAAAUAUCCAGAUGACCAUAUACAGGCGAUCAUCUUUGCUCUCAUAAAAGAGUAGUUUGAGGUUUUUAUGAUGUGUGAUGACAUUAAAUUUUGCGUGGAAAUCCUCUUGACAAGCUGCCAGAUGGUUAAACACGAACUCAGCUGUAACACACACAGUACGCCGGAGGAACUCAGCAGGUCAGGCAGCAUCGAUCAAACAAUCGACGCUUUGGGCCAAGACCCUUCCUCAGGACUGAGAAGGAAGGCGGGGAGAUACCAGAAUAAAAAGGUGGCAGGAAAGAGACCAGCUGGAAGGUGACAGGUGAAGCCACAGAGUGGGGGGGGGGGGGGGGGAUAGGUCAAUGGCUGGAAAAGAAAGAAUCUGAUAGGAGAGGAGAGUGGACAAUAGGACAAAGGAAAUGAGGAGGGGACCCGGGGGUGGGGGGCAGAUGGGGGAGGGGGAAGUAAUAGGCAGGUGGGAAAAAGUGAAAGGUCAAGAGUGGGGAAUAGAGGAAGGUGGGGGUGAAAUUUGUUCACCGGAAGGAGAAAUCAAUAUUCAUGCCAUCAGGUUGGAAGUCACCCAGACAGAAAACAAGGUGUGGCUCCUCCACUGAGGGUGGCCUCAUCUCGGCCCAAGAGGAGACCAUGAAUCAAAUCAUAAGAUUGGGAAUUGGAAUCAAAAUUAAAAUGUUUGGCCACCGAGAAGUCCCGCUUGUGGCGGAGGGUGCAGAAGCGAUUUCCCAAUUUCCGUCAGGUAACUCAACAGUAACUCAUUUUAACUGGCUGCAGUAUAACAACAAAUAAUAUUUGUCAUAAUAAUAUGGCAUUCAUUAUCUGUAAUUAUCUACGAGGAAAAUUAUUUUAUAACAAACCUGGCAGCCACAUUGUUGAAUUGCAUAGCUUUUCAGUGUGACAGCUUUGCUGUAACUACACAAGAUACAGGAAUCGGGAGCAAUGAUUUAUGUUAAGAGCUUCACUUUAAACUGAGCAGUCUUUUGUGUGAAACUGAGGUGUGGGGUGACUGAUACGGGGAAGAUGUUUGUGUAAAAAUAGUAGUUAAAGGGCAGGCCUUCUGGGGAACCACAAUGACCUUCAACAAAAUGCAAAUAACUCUGAAAGGACAAGUGACCAGAUGUUGAUCAUGAGAAUAUGGUUUUGUUCUGCUUCAGUUUCUAAAGACCAGUACAAUGAGAUUAAUAUGAUGCUGUACACCAUAUCUGUGCAAGCAAAUAUGAAAACCAAAGUACUGACUUGACUGACGAGCAAUGGUUCACCUUCCAGGACCGUGUUUUUUCCAAAGCUGUCAGACACGAUGUUUAAAAAUAACUGUUCCUUAGACACUACCUGGAGAGUAAAGAGAAGACUUUUCACCUUCUUUAUUAUUUCACACAUUGAGUGUUGCUAAUGAAACUUGUGUUUUGGAGGUGUUACAAAAGAAAACAUUCUCAAUUGUUUUUUGUGAAGGGAGUGUCUCUUUAAGACGGAACCACUCUGUGUCAUUUCCAAGUUCAGUUUCCAUAAACUAUGGACUCACUCUCAAGGACUCUGCAGCCCAUAUUCAGAAGAUCAUUUAUUUAUUUAUUAUUUGGGGGUUUAUUCUUUGUUUCUGUGUAGUUUUUCACUGAUUCUAUUGUGUUUCUCUGCACCUACUGUGAAUGCUCCUCCUCCUUUUGCUACCAGUCUUGAGACCCCACCCCCCAUGGCAGAGUUGACAUAUACAUACUUCGAGAAUAAAUUUACUUUGAAGUACUGUUUUGCUUCUUGCUUUGGCCAAAGUAAAGCAAAUAAAGGUGAAGUUGAAAAAAGAAAUGGAUACUUGUGGGAUCUAAGUUUGUGGUGCAGUAUUUCCCUUUAGAAAUGGUUUCAAACAGUACAAUGCAUUGCCCAAUCACUGGAGUUGUUUACUAGCUUCACAGGGUUAAGGUCUCCUGAUUAUAGUGUACACAUACAACUCAAACCCAUCCCGUCAGAAUCAGAAUCCAGUUUAUGUGAAACCUGUUGCUCUGUGGCAGCAGUACGGUGAAAAGGUAUAAAAUUAAGUAAAUAAUGUAAAGAAGGGAAUAAUGAGGUCAUGUCCAGGGUUCGUUGACCAGAAAUAUGAUGGUGGAGGGAAAGAAAUUGUAUCUGGAUUAUUGAGUGUGAGUCUUCAUGCUCCAGUACUUCUCCCCCAUGGUGGUAACAAGAAGAGGGCAUGUCCCAGAUCAUGAGGGUCCUUUGUGGAAGACAAAACCCACAAUGCGAAUUCUCUCAUCUAGAAGAACAAUACCAACAAUGGCAUGAAACAGCAGGUGGUUUACCCUACUGACCUGGGAAUAUAUUGCUAUUUCUACAUCAUUUCUGGGUCUAAACCUCAUCUGUUUCCACCAAACAGAUAAUCAUCACAAAGAGGACUGCAAAACGCCCCACUCACCACCACUUUCAGUUAUCGAUAUUAAGUACUGACUACCAAUAACCAUUUCCUUCAACUUGAAUGAAAAUGUUUCCCCUAUCCCUGUUCUUUAUCUCCACACAAACCUUUCCCCUUCAGAGCAACACACACAAAAUGCUGGAGGAACUCAGCAGGUCAAGCAGCAUCUAAGGAGAGGAAUAUUCGACAAAUAAAGAGUCGACAUUUCAGGCCAACCCUUCAACAGGACUGGAAAGGAAAGGAGAAGAGGUCAGAAUAAGAAGCUGGGGGGGCGGGGGGGAGAGAAGUACAGGCUAGCAGGUGAUUGGUGAAACCAGGUGAGGGGGAAGUUAGAUGAGAAGCUAGGAGGUGGUAGAUGGUGAAAAAGGUAAAAGGCUGAAGUAGAGGAACCUGGCAGGAGAAGAUAGUGGACAUGGGAAAGAGAGAGGUGCUGAGCAGGCUGCAAACUGAUUCAGAAGCAUCGUGGGAUAUCUCUGAUGAUUAAUCAACCAUGAUGGUGACAAAAAGAAUUAAGGUCACAGAAGAACUUUGCAACGUAUUACGUUUGAAGCAAGUACACUGACGCGCUGCCUGACCUGCUGAGUUCCUCAGUACUUUUUGUGUAUCGCUCAAGAUUUCCAACAUCUUCAUGGAUCAUGUUCAGGUAUUCAAGAGUUGGAGGGAUGAUACAAGGUCAACUCGAAGCAAGCUAUCCCCAUUGGUAGGUGGUUUGAGGAUCAACAAACACAAAAUGAAAUUUUUGGGCAAAAGAUACAAGGAUCCUGAAAGGUUUGAAUUAAAAAGCAAUAGGACAUGGAUGCAAGUCUACACGGGCCAAAGUGAUCUGCAGCUCACUGACAGCAGAUGGAGGUGGAAUUAACAUCUCCAAAAGAUAAUGGGCGGUUACACAGAAAUAAUGAAACUAAGAACAAGCAAUGGGCCUGGUGCUGUCAUAAUUUUACCAUAUUAUAUUCUAAAAUGUACUCCUAACGGCAGACUAUAUGAAGUGUCGUCAAACCUCACAAUAUUUUGAUAUCCUUCGGCAGGACGCUGUUUCCUUCAAGCAUUCUCACAGAAACCGUCGAUCUAGAGAAGAUCAUCAGUCAAGUCAACAUGACAUUGAGAGCUAAAAAACAAAGGCAACUGACAUGGAUUCGUUUUAAAAUACAUUUUAAUCUUCAGUUAACCUACAUCGCUCAGAAUGGAAUGGGAUGGGUAGGUGAAAAUAUAAUUUGCCCAGUGACUACAAACUUUAAUUAACAUCAGCACUUAUUUCGGAAAAUUAUUGUACGGGGCUUGAUCUUCGCUCUUGGUACAGGCGUGACUUGCAUCGCUUUAACCACCAGGCUCCUCCCAAAAAUAAUUCAACCGCGGAAACCAGCGAAAUAAAGGCAAUGCUUCCUGAUGCCAAUCCCGACCAUAAAGUUCCACCGAUGUGUACACCAAUAUCCUUCGCCCAUCACCCUAAUCCCCAACGCGAGCCGGAGGUUUCCUUUCAACCAGAAUCACGAAGCCGUCACCUGGCGUGACCUCCCGCUUAAAAUCGGGAGAGCGCGCAAGCAGAGCAGCACAUAACCAGGGCAGCUACUGCGCCGAUUUAAAAUAAAGCUGCUGUCCAGCCUGCUGAGUUUUUCAAGAAUUUUCUGCUUUUAAAAUUGCUAAUUUCCAGAUUUCCAGAAUCUGCAACUUUUAUUAAAGAAGUUAUCCAUUGACAAAAGCCCAAAAAAGUCCCUGAGAGAUGACAGAUGGAUCACAUGACUCAGCAAUGGAGGCUUUGUUCAUUAUGGGCCAUUAUAUUGUGACAGGCAGUGCAGAGCAUGUGGAGAAAUACAACGGACAUGGAGAGCUGCUAGAAGACACGGGGCUGAUUUAUCCAAUUCUGAAUACGUCACAGGUAUAUGUCAUACACUUCGAUACGUCAUCCUAUCAUCCCCUUGAUGAAAAGCAGUGAUUCAUAUUUACAUGUUACUUACACAUUUAACCUAUUUGUUGGUUUUCUGAGUCACUUUCAAAGAAAACUGGGUCAACUUUUUUUUUCCACUUUUUAGCAAAGAUUUCACUUCCUGACUCAAUUAGAAUCUUGCAUCUAUUCUAUCACAGCUUCUACUGGCUCAGCUUCUGCACCACACUCAUUGUCACACCCUCUCAUGCAUCUCCUGCUGUGACUAAGUGACAUGGGUACACUUCCAAAUUUGAUUUGUAUUUCCACCAGAUACCACUUUGCUUCACAAAGUUCAGCAACGCCUCCGACAGUGAAUACUGGUAACAUCUAACAGGCCAGGCAACAUCACCGAACAGAGAACCAGAGCAAACAUUGAAAAAGUAACUCUAUUUCUAUGCCUGACCAGCUGAGUAUUACCAUGUUUCUCUACCCCCUCCCCAUUUCCAGCAUCUUUUGCUUCCCAUCACUCUAAUAUUCAAUUUUCAAACUUUAGAUUUGCAAGAUGAUACACGUGUUCUCAAAGUCAAAGUACAGUUAUUGCAAAAUUAUGUAUGUGUUACCAUAUACUACCAAGAGAUUCAUUUUCUUGCAAGAAUUUACAAAUAAAGAAAUAUGAUAGAAUUAAUGAAAAAAUACAUAUGUAAGUAACG